rnacentral:rRNA from 1 species
GACGAACGCUGGCGGCGUGCCUAAUACAUGCAAGUUGAGCGAUGAAGAUUGGUGCUUGCACCAAUUUGAAGAGCAGCGAACGGGUGAGUAACGCGUGGGGAAUCUGCCUUUGAGCGGGGGACAACAUUUGGAAACGAAUGCUAAUACCGCAUAACAACUUUAAACAUAAGUUUUAAGUUUGAAAGAUGCAAUUGCAUCACUCAAAGAUGAUCCCGCGUUGUAUUAGCUAGUUGGUGAGGUAAAGGCUCACCAAGGCGAUGAUACAUAGCCGACCUGAGAGGGUGGUCGGCCACAUUGGGACUGUGACACGGCCCAAACUCCUACGGGAGGCAGCAGUAGUGAAUCGUCGGCAAUGGACGAAAGUCUGACCGAGCAACGCCGCGUGAGUGAAGAAGGUUUUCGGAUCGUAAAACUCGGUUGGUAGAGAAGAACGUUGGUGAGAGUGGAAAGCUCAUCAAGUGACGGUAACGACCCAGAAAGGGACGGCUAACUACGUG